AGUGAACGCUGGCGGUAGGCCUAACACAUGCAAGUCGAACGGCAGCACAGGAGAGCUUGCUCUCUGGGUGGCGAGUGGCGGACGGGUGAGGAAUACAUCGGAAUCUACUCUGUCGUGGGGGAUAACGUAGGGAAACUUACGCUAAUACCGCAUACGACCUACGGGUGAAAGCAGGGGACCUUCGGGCCUCGCGCGAUUGAAUGAGCCGAUGUCGGAUUAGCUAGUUGGCGGGGUAAAGGCCCACCAAGGCGACGAUCCGUAGCUGGUCUGAGAGGAUGAUCAGCCACACUGGAACUAAGACACGGUCCAGACUCCUGCGGGAGGCAGCAGUGGGGAAUAUUGGACAAUGGGCGCAAGCCUGAUCCAGCCAUACCGCGUGGGUGAAGAAGGCCUUCGGGUUGUAAAGCCCUUUUGUUGGGAAAGAAAUCCAGCUGGCUAAUACCCGGUUGGGAUGACGGUACCCAAAGAAUAAGCACCGGCUAACUUCGUGCCAGCCGCCGCGGUAA
rnacentral:rRNA from 1 species